rnacentral:misc_RNA from 1 species
GCUCCGUAGGUGAACCUGCGGAGGGAUCAUUAACAUCCAAAUUUGCUAGCCCUGCUUUUCACAAGGCAUUGGGCUGGCUCUCACACCAAAAAUUAGUGCAGGCGUUUAAGUGCAUAAACGCUUUUUCAACUCAAUUCAGGCAAAAAUUUAUCUACUAGGCUGAAAUUUUUUUCAAGCCUUCAGAAUAAAAAAAAUCACUGUUAACAACGGAUCUCUAGGCUCCUGCAUCGAUGAAGAACACAGC